rnacentral:misc_RNA from 1 species
GGAAAAGUCGUAACAAGGUCUCCGUUGGUGAACCAGCGGAGGGAUCAUUACAGGACUAGCAAGACUCCUACAACCCUGUGAACUUAACUAUAAGCACGUUGCUUCGGCGGGUGUCUCGGAGGGGGUUCUCCCUCCCCGGGACGCUAAACCCGCCGGCAGCCUACUAUACUCUGUCUCUUUGCGUUGGCAUCUCGAGUACAAUCAAACAAGUUAAAACUUUCAACAACGGAUCUCUUGGUUCUG